UACGUAGGGUGCAAGCGUUAAUCGGAAUUACUGGGCGUAAAGCGUGCGCAGGCGGCUUUGCAAGACAGAUGUGAAAUCCCCGGGCUUAACCUGGGAACUGCAUUUGUGACUGCAUGGCUGGAGUGCGGCAGAGGGGGAUGGAAUUCCGCGUGUAGCAGUGAAAUGCGUAGAGUAUGCGGAGGAACACCGAUGGCGAAGGCAGCCCCCUGGGUCAAGAUUGACGCUCAUGCACGAAAGCGUGGGGAGCAAACAGG
rnacentral:rRNA from 1 species